ensembl:lncRNA
AUGCUGGAACAGCUGUUUACUUCAGCAGGACUUCUUCAGCGACUGGGGUUUGCCCACACAAACAGGGAGUUGCCUGCUCUGAUGGGAGGAUCCCUGUCUGGUCCCUGCGGUGUCUCACCUGCCCUGCCAGCUCUGGCUGUCCCCUGGCCACCGCACACCCAUCGGCUGCAGCUCCGCGAGGAGAGGUAUGCUCACAGCUCUCCUGUUUGCUCUUUUAUGGCCUCCUGCCCACGGUGCUGGGCUAAAGGCAUUGCCACGAUAAGAUAUCUUAUAAAACAUUAUGACCCACCGGAGUGAGGAGAAGCGAGUGAAGCUUGGCUCUGCCGGGGAGGUGGCAGGAGGCUGCACUCGCGGUGUUUCCCAGUGGCCUCUGUCAGGAGCUGGGGGUUUCUUGUGCUAGGGAAACAUUAGAGGAAUCCGGAAGGGAAGUUAGCUGCUGGCAAGGAUAAAUUGGCACAAGGAAACGAGACUCAGCAAGGAAAAGAAAAAAUGUGUGCUACCAGGGCCCAUUCCUCUUCUCCUACCCAACAGCCUUGUGCCAGGUUAACCCUCAUCGUCUCCAAUGAGUCAUGUACAAGGGUGUAAAGGAGCUUGCAAGUAGGUUCUUGCUUCUGUCUGUUCCAAGCCAAGUAUUUGCAUUACAAAGCAAACACUCUGUUCUGUGAUUUGAGCUCUAGCUGAGUGCUUCCUAAAAGCAAUUUAAGAACCAAAUUCACGAAGCAUCCAACGGGCACUGGCGGUACCCAGGAGGCAAUGAUGUUCAAACAUGUAAAGGCAAGAUAGCCGCUUCUUCGUUCAACUGCGGGGAUGGAAUUAAAAGUUCAGGAAAUCUGUCUUGGCAAACAAAAUCAAGAAUUAAUCCUAACACAUCCCCUCCCAACAUCAGGAAAAAACUGAUUUGUCUUGCAGGCACCAGGAAGGUAAUGAAGCAUGAAGCUGUCACCCAUCGGGCCUUUCUCGUUUCUCAUUCUCUUCUGUGAGUAUACAAGCCUGAUUAGGGGGAAGGAAAAUUAUUGCUUGCAGAUUUCCCCUAUCCUUUGGAAAGCUGCAUCCGGCUGGUCCCCGAUUCCACGGGCACUGUUUCCUAAGCAGUGCUAACGGGUGUGUUUCAGAAGCUGCGAGGCAGGAGCGAUCCACAGCCAACAUAUUUGUGAUGCCGCAGAGAGGGCAUCUGGAAAGACUGACACAGCUUCAGAUGCCAGUGACUACCACAGUCUUUUCUUGGCAGGAAGGAUGGACAAAUGACCUAAUAGGUCUUUUUCGUCUGGAAUAUCUAUGAACCUGAAAACGGUGCUGAAUUGAUUUCCUAAAAUAGCAAUUUCAUCACCAUGCUGCCUUUCUUAAACCGGUGCUUCAAACCCAGAGCAUUUCCAUGCUAACUCAACUCCUUUAUUUGUUCCCUGAACUCUUUUGGAAUUGCCAGUAUUUGAAAAAAAAGACUCUGAAGGUGAAUGAUGACAGAGCUGGAGGUCUGGGGCCAAUGAUCGAUUUCUGUCUAAGAUGAUUAAAAUAUUAUCUCGGAUACACGCCGUAUACUGCUGUCCUAUAUUGCUGUUCCUAUUAUGAGUAUAAUAACUGACUGACGGAUGACAAAGCAAAUUGCUGCAGGCUUUGAUCCACAUGAAGAAGGCCCUUGUUUAUCCAGAUAUAACCAGGGGCUGAGAUUUCACUGCUCUCUGAGAAACAGCCUCCUGCACCCCUUCAGCUCUCGGCACAAGGGCUCCUCCCCUCCAAGUGCUCAGGGAUGGGAUGUGGCACCUUCCUUCCCUCUGUGUUCUCUAGGGCAAGAUCUCCGCAUCCUCUCGGUACAGAGAUGAAAUUUGUGUUGUUUCUUGUAUUCCACCACACGUGGCCUCAGGUCCGGGAGCUCCUGGCUGGAUGAGGCUGGGCUGGUGGCCAGGCCGGGCGGCCUACGGCCCGAUGGCGGGCGGGAGCCUGGUGUGUUCUGCACCACGCUCUGCUGCCUCUUGUCUCACCUUGCUCUGCUGGUAACGUGGCGUUUCCCACCUCCUACCAAUGUGACAUGGGCAGGUCUUUGUGAAGAAGGACGAGCGGCAGUGAGAAGCAAGGCCUGACAGAGCGACGCAACGACAGGACCUCUUCGGCACAGGACCUUUCCGAAAAUAGUGCUAAGGCUGCGGUGGGGAAGACCAAACUCUCCAUCUUGGUCGCCCAUAGCUGUCUCUUGACUCAGAGCGCCGUGGAAGCAGAAGUAUGCGCCGUCCUCGGGUUUCAGCUCCCACCCACAGCCUCGCACGCCAGACCCAGCUGCCUGUGGGACCUGUGAGCAGCUGCAGGCAGCGGGGCUUCGUGCUCACAGCACCCAACAAGAAGGCUGCUUCUUUCUCCUGAACUUGAAGCACUGCAUGAUCUGACUGAUGUGUUAGGAUAGGCCCACGUGUUCUUUGCGUGGCUCGGCCCAGUUUUUGCUCCAGGAUGGAAAGAGUAUACCCUGGCGUGGCAGGGAACCAAGGGAUCGGGUCGGAGAGCCUGCUCAGCAGCAAGCACAGCUGGGGAGACCGCAGAAGAAGCGAAGCAGCCGCGUCGCCAGAGCGAGGUUUAGAUAAUUUUAUUUGCUUAAGCACUUUUCAGCAUUGAUGAGGAAAUCACACAUGCUUCAUCUAUGGAGAACAGGCAUUUUAUCAAACUAUGUUUUUAUGCAAACUAAUCAAUAAAUGGUGUUUGGAUAGUAACGUUUCUAAAUUU